rnacentral:rRNA from 1 species
GACGAACGCUGGCGGCGUGCUUAACACAUGCAAGUCGAACGGAAAGGCCCUGCUUUUGUGGGGUGCUCGAGUGGCGAACGGGUGAGUAACACGUGAGUAACCUGCCCUUGACUUUGGGAUAACUUCAGGAAACUGGGGCUAAUACCGGAUAGGAGCUCCUGCUGCAUGGUGGGGGUUGGAAAGUUUCGGCGGUUGGGGAUGGACUCGCGGCUUAUCAGCUUGUUGGUGGGGUAGUGGCUUACCAAGGCUUUGACGGGUAGCCGGCCUGAGAGGGUGACCAGCCACAUGGGGACUGAGAUACGGCCCAGACUCCUACGGGAGGCAGCAGUGGGGAAUAUUGCACAAUGGGCGGAAGCCUGAGGCAGCAACGCCGCGUGCGGGAGGACGGCCUUCGGGUUGUAAACCGCUUUCGCCUGUGACGAAGCGUGAGGGACGGGAAUGGGGAAAGAAGCACCGGCUAACUACGG